rnacentral:lncRNA from 1 species
GCAAACUAGGCGGCGGGAAUCAAAAUAUGGAGGCAUCAAAAUAUUGAUUCUAGUGGGCGGAGCUUUGACCAUAUAUGGGCAUAGAAUCAAUAUUUUGAUUCAAUUUGGGACAUUCCCACCUUCAGACGACCCGUUACGGCGGAAAAAACCCCCAUGACGGCGAGAUUUUUUGACAAGUCAACACAAAAAACUUCCCCGCUUCAAUUUUUCGCUGCAUGGCUAUCAGCCGUUUGUCGCGCGUACCUUUACGAAUGGCAUAAAGAUUUCGCCGCCAUAAUUCAACAAAAACGUGCUGUUAAAACUUGCUCUGUUUAUCAUUAACGACGAGCCUUUGUAUUUUUUUCAUAAUUUUGUCUAAAAGAAAAUGAAAAAUGCGUUAUUUAGUUGUAUAAUUCAUUUAUAAGAAAUAUUCUUUUUCUUUGUAUCUAGCCACGAUAUCCGGUUCCCGCCAUUUCGCGCCGGCGUCGUGGGUGUUUGGAUGCAACGUAGUGCUCCCGGUUUUAUUUUGUUUAAGCGACCUUUUCUGAAGUGUCAACCAAUGAUCAAACACUGGUCGUUGCGGGGAUUGGCUUCAGAGGGUCAAGGAUGGCGUCUUGAAUCGCUGUUCAGUCGACAGGCAACUGUAUGACAACGCCAUCCCUGUCAACCAGAGCGUCGACCGAAGUAGGGCGGCGUUGCGCGGACCUGGCCGCACCCGACCAACCGGUGGAGUACCUGACUCGGGCUGGGUGGAGACUACCUACAUCACGACUUUUUGAACUUUGAUCUCGUGGCGAGAAACAAUAUGACGUGAGGAAGUGUGUAUGUGGCUGGCGGGGCCGAGGGUGAAAUGCGCCACGUGUUUAUCCUGCCGGAUGACGACAGCGUCACCAACCUGUCAAAGAACGAGCUGGUGCAGCGCGUGAUGACUGCUAUCUCGUCCCUAGAACCGGAGUAGAAAAACGUGUGCAUAGCCCAAAUGAAGCGAACCAAAACACAGGCAGGACUGAUAGUUUUUCGGUCGAGAAUGUUCUGAAGAUGCUGAUCCGUAGACCAAUUGGUGACCGUUUUCGGUGGUAAUAUGGAAUCUUGUGAUGUUCCAAAGCGACCUGCUUUGGGUGUGGACAUAAGUGGCUCAACCUGACAGGAUUGAUGUGUUAGGUAGCCGUGCUAAUCAUAAACCCUAUAUUGAGUGUAUCUGUACAAAUUUUGUUUAUAUUUAUUUCAUGUAUUUGAUUCGAAACCGGAAAUUGCUCUUUGUAAUUAGGCAACAUCGAGACGUUGAAGUCAUUCUCCAGAAGUUUAUUUGUUUUUUCUUACCUGUCCACGGUAUGUCUUAUUGGUUAGGUCUCAGUUUUAAAUAUUAUUAACUGCAUGUUUUGCAAAUACGUAGCCAUAUUGAAUAAGAGACGUGUCCUAAAAGUGAGUAUUGCUUUGCAUGGGAUGUGAGCAUCAACGACAGGGCUUUGUGAUGGCAAAUGUGUGGCAAUUGCAGGGAUCGUUGUGAAAUGUGUUAUGAAUAUCAUCGUAUUAUUUGCGACUGCAAAUACAUCCGUGUAUCAUAUUUUCA